GACGAACGCUGGCGGCGUGCCUAAUACAUGCAAGUAGAACGCUGAAGCUUGGUGCUUGCCCCGAGCGGAUGAGUUGCGAACGGGUGAGUAACGCGUAGGUAACCUGCCUGGUAGCGGGGGAUAACUAUUGGAAACGAUAGCUAAUACCGCAUAAGAGUAGAUGUUGCAUGACAUUUGCUUAAAAGGUGCAAUUGCAUCACUACCAGAUGGACCUGCGUUGUAUUAGCUAGUUGGUGAGGUAACGGCUCACCAAGGCAACGAUACAUAGCCGACCUGAGAGGGUGAUCGGCCACACUGGGACUGAGACACGGCCCAGACUCCUACGGGAGGCAGCAGUAGGGAAUCUUCGGCAAUGGACGGAAGUCUGACCGAGCAACGCCGCGUGAGUGAAGAAGGUUUUCGGAUCGUAAAGCUCUGUUGUAAGAGAAGAACGAGUGUGAGAGUGGAAAGUUCACACUGUGACGGGAUCUUACCAGAAAGGGACGGCUAACUACGU
rnacentral:rRNA from 1 species